rnacentral:rRNA from 1 species
AGCAGCCGCGGUAAUUCCAGCUCCAAUAGCGUAUAUUAAAGUUGUUGCAGUUAAAAAGCUCGUAGUUGAACUUCGAGGUUUACCCAUUGGUCAGGCUUAAUUGUCUGCACUGGUGAGAUGAAUCUCUACCUUCUGAGGAACUUUCAUGCCAUUUAUUUGGUGUGAUUGGAAAUCAGGACUGUUACUUUGAAAAAUUAGAGUGUUUAAAGCAGGCUAACGUCUGAAUACAUUAGCAUGGAAUAAUGAAAUAGGACGGACCGAUUCUAUUUCGUUGGUUUCUAGGAUCACCGUAAUGAUUAAUAGGGAUAGUUGGGGGCAUUAGUAUUCAAUUGUCAGAGGUGAAAUUCUUGGAUUUAUUGAAGACUAACUACUGCGAAAGCAUUUGCCAAGGAUGUUUUCAUUAAUCAAGAACGAAAGUUAGGGGAUCGAAGACGAUCAGAUACCGUCGUAGUCUUAACCAUAAACUAUGCCGACUAGGGUCGGACGAAGUUAAUUUUAUAAUGACGCGUUCGGCACCUU